UAGAAGCAUGUAACUGGUGUUCACAGCAAUGUUCAACCUGUCAGAAAACGACUACUCCAUGUCAAAUAAGUCCUCCAACUUCCCCUUCCUGUCAAUGUACAAGUACAUCUCCAAUAAAUUUUACUGGUUCUACAUCUGAGACUAUUGCUACGCACAUAGAUUGUCCUCUUUGUCCAACCCCAACUGGAAGCACACUUUACAAUGGUUCAUCGGCAAAAGCUUCAACAACCG